ACAAAGCAAUUAAAAAGAAGGGUUAUUAGUAAAAGAUCAAUUAAAAUUUUGUUACAAUGUACCAUUUUAUAAUCUAACUUUGUCAAUUUUUUGGUUUAAAGUUGUGUGUCAUUCGCAUGUGAUACUUUUAAAGAGAAUGUUAAUCUUCAAAAUAUUGAUAGAGUUUAUCCGAAAAUUAUCAACACGAACGUGUAUGGAUUGUUACUGAAUUUAGCAUUUAUACUUUAAACACAAAGACUGCACUUUUUCUUCUUCUUUAUUUUUUUUUUAAUUUUUUAUAAAUGCAAGUGAUAUUGGGAAGGGAAAAAUCGAAUGUAGAACCUUAAAUGCAGGGGUAAAUGUUCUUAACCACUUCAACUACAAACCCCUUAUUAUUGCACAUAAUAUUAUAGGUUACAUAAUAAAUCACCUAUAGAGAAAGAUGAAAUAAACCUUUGGAAUGUGGGAGAAUAGAAGGGAAUGUGGGAAAACGCCAAAGGGAAAGAAUCCAAUUCCCCUAACAUUCCUUAAUGUCUCUGAUGCCACACAACAAAACAAGGUCCCUUUGAAGUUUGAAGAACGCAUGCCUUAUCAGGCUGACACAAAAACACACACACACAUCCCCCUAAUGUAAAAAUGGCCCAUCUCUCUAUCUCUCUCUCUCUCUCAUGUAUAUAUUGGCUCACCUUUUCAAGCUCCCAACAUGGAUUCUCUUUGCCAGUGCAAAACCCAUCACCUCUCUCAAGAGAUAGUACUAGAUUUUAUUAUCACACUUUUUCUCCUUUCAUCAUCUUUAAAUACUUAUGUGAGGAGAGAGAGAGAGAGUGAGAGAGAAAGAGAGAGAGAGAGAUUAUAUAUUAUAUCGUCUACUUUUAUUUUGCAUGGGAAUUUAAGGGCUAGCUAGUGAUCAUCGAUCCUUUUGAGUCAGUAUACAAUAAUAUAUAGAGAGCAUAGAUAGUUGAAGAACUUUUAUAUAUAAGAGAGCCCCACUCCCACUCUUGAAGUCAUCAUUGCAAGUGAGGUGGGUGGGGAUGGAUGGGCUGCUUUUUGCUUUGUUCGAUCAUACUUUUUUUUUUUUUUUUUUUUUUUUUGGGUUCUUUGGUAUUGGUAGGGUUGUUGAAGGGAAUGUUUCUUUGCUUGGGCUUGUAAAUUUUCUCGAUUUUAUCUUUAAGCCUCCACUUGUCUUGAAUUUGACCACCUGUGUGUGAAAUGGAGGAACAUUCAGGCACAAGCUCUGCUUGUCGCUAUCUAAUUAAUUAAUCAUUAAUUUGCAGUAUUUAUUUAUAUACAAUUCUGAUCAUUUGCUGUGGCACUAUUCCUUUGAUCAUUAACAUUCUCUGAUGAUGUUGUGUUUCAUUUGUUCAUAUAUGAACAAAAUACUGUGAUGAUGAAGUCACAUGUCACAUUCUUUGAUGACCAAAAUUCAUGAAAGGUGUAUUAACUGGCUCUUAAUUAGGUGAGUGAUAUUUUAAUUUCUUUCAAGUUAAAAAGAGGUCUCGGGUUCGAAAUCAUAACUUGCAAAACCAUUAAUAAUGAUACGGAAACUGGGAUUGUUUGGAGAAAUUUUUUUAUGAGCACAAAGAGACUCCUUUUUACAAAAGAAAGGGGGAGAAAAACAAAGAAAGUGACUUCUUUGGCUGCAGUUACAGUUGUGAAAUAUGCAGUCACUCAGUUAUGUACUGAUUACAAAUCAACAGUUUUGAUUCUUGUACAACUUUAUACACAUAAAAGCCAUGCAUAAAGCUGUAUCUACAUCAUUGAUAUAUACCAUGUGUUUCUUGUAAUUAAAUUCUUAACUUUUGUUCACAGAAAACAAGCAUUACAAAUUUUAUUUGGGGCCGGUGACAGUGAUGAUCUUAAAAGAGAAAAAAAAAAAAGGAAAAAAAGAGAGAGAAACUGGCCUUAAGAUCCCUUGCUUUUGGACAUAAGUUUGGAUCAUUGUGUUCAUAAUCUAUCUAAUCGAAUCCAAUUGAUCAUAGAAUACGUGUUAUAUAUGGUGUUGAAUCAUCCGAAUGUUUAUUACAUGGGCAUCCUUUAUGUUUCUGAUCCUAAGAUGUAAACCUCUGCAACUACAACAAUGCUGCUAUAAUAUUCCAACAGAAAUAAGAUAGUCUACUUAAAUUUUCUGUGAUGAUACAAUGCUUAUGGCCGAAACGAAAUCUCUUAAUCGUAGGGUUUGAGGUAUAUAGGGUUUAGGAUUUAUACUGAAAAGAGAAUGAAAGGCUGAAACAAAAAUCAUGGAUUUUGGCCAUAAGCACAUCAUCAGAAUAGAAAUAUAGAGGGUUGAACCCGUUCUAAUAUUCUACAGUCUAUAGUUACACACCAAGUAGGAGCUGAAGGGCAGCCCAUCUGUUUCCGGCACAGCAGUUCACCAUCACCCCCACAUAACUGAAUUGCUUGAUUGCCUUCAAAUCUGGUUGAAAAUGGGGACCUAUGGACUUGAAGUUUAUCAAGUAUGGAACUAAUUAGAUCCUGACCGACCUUUCCUACCAUGGAACCUUUCUUGUAAUCUAUCUUGUCCAAUUGUACUAUAAGUCUCUCCAUUAGCAUGUCGAGUCGCGAUCCUUAGAGGGUGGGCUUCUGUGUUAAAAACCCAUUCAUCCAAAGAGAUAAACGAUGGAGGUGAAAAGAGGAGAUAGAGAUACUUCAGCGUUUCUGCGAGGAAGAAGCUCUGCAUCAUAUUGUCUUUCUCACCUGAACUCACCUGAGCAAAAUUGGCUAAAAUACUUCAGUAAAAAUAUUAAUGUAUUCAGGGAUGUAAACAUAUACAGUAUAAACAAAAAAGGAGAGAGUCCAAAUCUUAACAAUUUGGUCAUUUAUUUUGCAACCACGUAAAGAUAUAUGCCAUGAGAAAUACAAGUGGUUCAGGGCAUAUAUGCAGCACACCAAGGAAUAUGAGAAAAUUUUCUCGUUCAUGGCAUAUAUUAAGUUCACCACCAACCUAACUUAGUGCUGCAUAUAUCUACUCUUAAACAUGCUGAAAAUACAACUCAGAUGUGGGAACUCUCAUUCAAACCAACCAGUCUGAGAAAUUGCGAUCUCCAAUUCAUGCAAGCAACCAAAACUCCAUCCCAAACUGCACAGUCUAGGAAAGAUUCCAGCCACAUUGCACAUAUAUGGACACUUACAACACCAUAGCAGUGAGGAGUAGCAAAGGGUUUCGGUACAUUUAUAUGUAACCUUCCCUUACAUGUCUUUCUUUUCUUCUAUUUUCUUUUGAUUUAUUUUUUGCAUGAACGUAGUGAGGGUGCAGUAGGAGGCAACAUAAUGAAGUUUUCAAAAUGAAAAUAAUAGUGCAAGAUGAUGAAAAUCAUUUAGUCAUGUGAGUCUUGAUUAUACGUGUGUUUCUAUGUAGUACCUACCUCAGAAUUCAAAGAAAAUAACAUAAAAUUCAUUUCAUGACAUGUUCUUACAUCUUUAAGUCCACUAUAUCCUGUAUCUACUCGAGAGUUCUUUUCAAAUGCUUGGAAAAUAUUCCAACCCCAUUCUUGGUAAGUUUUGUUCCCAGUUAAACGCCAUAGGUAAAAAAGUGACUCCACCGUCUCCGGCCUCAAAAUGCUCCAUGAUGUUCCAACGGUCAUGUCCUGCAAAAUCUUCUGAUAUAAAAUUACUAAAACAUCUUAGUGUAAAGUAUAAGAAGCAUGGAAGUACAAGACCUGUCCAGCAGGGAAGUAAUAGUUCUCUCCAGCCAAUUUUGUAGGUGUUGUCUGGUAAAAGUUAUAACAUGUCCAUGCAAGCUACAUGAUAAAUAGCAAUUCAAGACAUAAGCUAUUGGAUACCUGAUAAAAUUACCGUUUGAUUGUGCUUAUUGAUUGUCGAAACUGGAAUAGUAAAGGUUAAGAAGCUGUGAAACUUUGUUAGCCAAAUUAGAUUACAAUCUGAAAGCAGCGCUGUAUAGUUUAGGUGGUUAUAGACACUAUGAGUUAAGUUUUAAGUAAUCCUCUUCAUUCGCAAAUGAAAUUUUAAUUUUACCCCAGUCUAAAGGGUAAGUUAUCCAUAAACGAUUGGAAAUAAUAAGAGCAGAGUUUAUCCACAUCCAUAAUGUUAUGGUUGAUAGAAUCUGAAUGAUGCAACAUUACAAACACUUGAAAUCAAUACAGAUGAACAAUUUUGGUUGCAUACCAAGACAUUAGGGUAGAGUUAAAGGUAAGAUAAUCCAAGACAUUAGGGUAGACUGUACUAAGGUAUGACAAUGCACACUCCGAGCUCCUGUAUCUACUGCUAAUCCUCUAAUCUCCAGUCCACUCUAGAACAGCUUUUUUCCCCUUCUUUUCUAUCAAUAACAAAAUUUUUUGAAGUAAUCUUUGGGAUUCUGCAGAGAAAAUCUCCCCCUUAAAUGAUGAAAAACGUUCAGUUUGAUUUUCCUGUGUACACAGCCUUUUGUGGACUUAUUUGUAUUAAACCAAAGUAUUUUUUGACUUAAUGUUUUUGUACAACAUCAUAUGACCCCAAACCAAAACUGUUUUUAUUUUAUAUGGCAUUCCAUACAUACUUCUUCCACAUCCCUCCCACCACCCUUCCUUCACCCUUCCUCAUUCCUCUCUUUCUUCCAUAUAUUUCCUCUCUAUCUCUAACAAAAAAUGAAAACUCAAAAAUAAAACGAAAAGUUUACCAAAUGGGCCCUUAAAUUUGAAUAUUCUAUUCAAUUUUUGUGUCAGUCUCAAAUAAAAGCAACUCUUACAUGUUUUAUGCAAGACAGAGGAGAAAUUUAUUCCUUACGCUCCUUGUAUAAAUCAGUGUACCCUGUACCUAAUCAGAAUUAUGGAGUAUCAGUUUACUACACUAUAGUAUUUAAUACGUUUUUCCUUUCUUUUUGGGUGACAUGCCAAUUAUUAAUCAGGUGCUUCAAAACUUCCAUACAUAAGAGGAUAAACUGAGCCUGCUCUAGCAAAACAUGACCUCAAAUACUUUCUCCAUGGUACCUCUUCAGCAAGGGAUAAAAACUUUUCAGCUUCAUCAGGGCCAUAGCCAGUAGAUCCUAAAGCCAACAUUCCAGGAGCAAAGCAAGCUAAUUCAUCCAUCUGCAUACACCAAGCACAGCCCUCCAAAGUGUUCACAAUUUAAUUGACAAACACUACAUUCUGCUAAUUCAUACACUACCUUAUCGGACAGCGAGCUUCCAGUCUUCUCACAUAUAUAUGCAUAUGAGGAUGGUGUUGUCUUCCGAAUCAAGCUUUUCAGACCUUUCAUUGAUGUCUCCCACAUUUCUCUGAUUCCAAUAUAGAUAGGCAAUGAUUUUGUCAUAACAGAGAUUCAAUUAACUGCCUCAGAUGAGAUUAAUAAAGGUCAUAACAAAUCGUCAUAACUCAUCAGAGAAAAGAAGGAGAGCACACAUGAACAGGCAUGCGCAAAAGCAAAGGACUGACAUGUCUCAGCAUUACCAACUGUGAAAUGAUGAAAAUUGUGUACAUCUAUUCAUCAGGAUCAACUGUCAUUCAAAAUACUACUAAUCCAUCAUACUAACUGAUGUCUAAAGCUUCUCACCUGUAGUGCGUUACAGAUUCAGUUUUGUUCCCUUGUAUCCAAGCCUUGAGUAGAUAUUCAUAAAAGCUGCAUCCACAAAGACAUUUUGAAAAUUAAUUGGCCAGCAAUACCUAUGGAUAUAAACCCUCCGAAAGUUACUGGGUAAUAUGUGCUUUCAAUUUUGAGCCUUUUUUAUAUCCCUAGCUCGGAGGGUUACUCAAACCUUUCGUUUUUUACUCUGCUCGUUCCUUGAAGGUCCAAUUAAUUAAUAGUCAACUACAUAGAGGUUCUCUACAAGUCUAUAUAAUCUUUGAUUUCGUUCCCCCCAAAAGAUCAAUAUCACAACCAAUGAGGUCUGCAAGUUUCACAUCUAAGUAAUACCUGAUCCGAUAGUUUACGAUAUAGAUAGAUAUAUAUUUAAUAACAACGUUCUAAGAAAGGAUCAUCAGAAUACUUUAACCUAGUAAUUUGUUUAUAAUUGAGAAACAUGAAAAAAAUUCUAGAGAUCAUGACAUGUGAAACUCAUGACUGUCAUGGUCUUCUACUAUGAAGUUUUUAAUAAACAAUCCAUAAUUUGACUUCAUAUUUCAACUAGGCAAAUCAAUCAAAAAUUGAUGGUUUUACCUUCAUAACCUAAAACUUUCCUUCAACUUCUAUCAACGUUGUUUAAAAAUUAUCUAUAAAUAAUUAUUCAAUUUCAACUCAUUACAGUUGAAUCCCAAUAAUAGCACAAAAAUUCAAUCUAAUUCACGAAAUACAGUUUCAGGAUCAAAGGUCAGGGAAGUAAGCACUAGCUUGAACUAGAGUCAUAAACUCUGGUUCAACAGCCAAUUCUUCCCAGAAUCUACAAGGCCUCAAUUAAUAGUAGAAUGGUUGAAUCACACAUAUAAAGCCUGGCAUGGCUAACCUGUGAUUCCUCUCCUUUAACAGUAAUUUUCAAAUAAAUAAAAAAUCAUUUUUACCAAAUAUGGAUAACAAUGAUUCCUGAGUUUCAAUACCUAUCACCCAUGGCACCAAAGGAAAUUUUUGAGUAUGAGGUAAUUCCAGUGUGAGGAUCAAUAUAUAUGGGAAGCAAUCCAUCAGCAGGGAAGGUUUUAUGAAGCUCUUCAAUGACAUAUUCCACCUGAAAUAUCAGCAUGCAAACAGUUAUAGUGAGGAAAGGAAGCAAGGGGUUAUUCUAUCUAUCAUUUACAUUGUUUCUGCAUUCUAAAGAAAUUAGCUUGAGAUAUGAGGAUAAAAACAAUAAGUCCAUGGUAAGGAUAAUGCUAUUCAUCAAAUAGGCAGGAAUAAAUCUACGUUCUGAGCUACAUUGUGAAAGCAUAAAGAGCACCUUCUGCUGGUACUUAGGAUCAUUUGUCCUCUGAGAUAGAGCAAUAAAUUCAAGCUGCUCUGAACCAGCAUCUGCCAGAAUACUUUUUCCCUAGUAACAGGAAAUAUUUAAAUAAACAAAAAAGAUAGUCUGAUGAUGUUAGAAAAAGAUUCUUAACUGAUGCCAUUUAGAUGCCUACUUCAACUUAGCACCAUAUAGUUACAACCCAGAAAUUUAAACAGUAAUUAGUGUGAAUACAGACUUUACAACCUAGGUAACACCAAGCAGAUGUAUGGUUAUUUAGAGAUAUUUUUUUAAGGACGUUGCCUAUUGAGAGGGGCGAUAGCAUACUAAACUCACACACACUAUACAGAUGCUAGGACUCCAACCCAAGACCUUGCUUGAAGGAGUGAAUACUCCAAACCACUACACUAGUAGAUCCUUUGCGGUUAUUUAGAGAUUUAGUAGCUAAUAGAUCAUGUAGCUCAAACUCGGAAGAAGACACCAAAGAGUAUAGAUUUGAUAGAUCAUUUCAUCUCUUCAGACAUAUAUAAAAUACAGAAUUGAAAAUUUACUUGAGCCAUCUUUGAUCUUGUAAAUGAUAUUAUUCAGUUACUAAUAGUUUUAAUUUUUUAAGACAAGCAAACAAUAAAAAUGAUACAAACGAUUUGAUGUUCAGCUUAAAAAAUAAAAACGAAAAGCAGCAAGCAAUGCCAUAGAUGGAACUUACCCCUGUCCACCGAGGGUUACGGGCAUCCCCAUAUCUCAAGUUUAUUAUGUUAUAGGGGAUUCCUGAGGGUGUAUUCCACGCAGGCAGCAACCUAUCUGCAAUAUCUCUAGCCUUUUCAAGGAACACUUUGUCAUCAGAGAGAUCAUAUGCGCUAAGAAGUCCACCUAUAACUCUACAUUCCACAAAAGUAGCCACAAAAGAGUAAGUCACUGGAGAUGACCAGGUGCAAUGGACAUGUAAUACAAUAUUCUGGAACUUGUCCAAAUGAGGUACGGCCCCUUCUCCCACAUCCGAGAAAAGAAAUAGGUAACUUGGUAUUUAUAUAGAAUUAAUUAAACCUUCUAAUGCAACCUUAUGGUUGUCUCAAAAACACUAGCCUCGUAAUUCUUGUUGAAAUUCAACGACUUUGCAACCCACCUGAAAUAAUUUAUGAUUAUCAAUAUUAGCCACCUCAAAGUGAAACUACUUCAAGAAUGGAAAAAGUAAAACCUUAACCACAAUAAUUAAAAUAAAUUCAGAUAUUACAGCUAAAACUAUUUGAGAAAAAUAACCUGUCAAGAAAACCAUUUGCAAAUUACAAUUGUGUUUUCUCAAUCUGAAUGUGUAUUUUUACAGUUAUAUACAUGUUACGUGUCAGCCAUAUAUAUGGAGAAACUAUGAUCUGUGGGGGAGAUAAAUUAAAACAGUUAGAAACUCACUCUCUAGCUCUUUGGAAUUGCUCGUCAAGACCCAUUAUGUACAAGGUAUCAAGAGAAUCCACUAGAGUUGCUCCUAGACCGCCAAAACUAUCAACACCAUCUCUUGUUUGUGGCUGUUUAGAAUGAGAGUUUAAGUUAUUAGAGUUGCAGUAUUCAUUCGCCAACAUGCUGUCCCCAUUGUGGUGCAUUUCAAUUUUAUUCAAUGAAAGUUUGUUUAUUAUAUAAAAAAACAAAACUAGAGUAGUAGUAUUCGAAUCCACUAAUAAGCAAAUUAAUAAUGAAGCUAUGUUACCAAUGAAGUUAUGUUACCGCAUUUAUCGACCAAUAUAUAUGUUAGGAAAUCUGUUACAUGGAUCAUUGAUUGAGCAUUAAAGCAGGAAGCAUACCUGGAGUUCAUCACGACCCCAUGCGUACAUCUCGUAACAAGUCCAAGCAUGAAUCAUAGCCUCUUUAACUGCUCUUCUUCGUUCAACAUUGAGAGGAUCAUCCUCCUCCUCGACAAUGCUCCAACUUCUUAUAUUCUUCUUCACAUUCUCUAGCUACAAUUUACCAUUUAAAAAAAAUUCUCAAUUGCAAUUAAUUCCACCACACUCUAAUCUAAUUAAUUCAUCUUUAUCUGAUUCUUCAAAGUUAUCAGUUCCUUAUUCAACCUUGAAACCACUAACUAUUCAAAUAAAAACGCCAGACAUCACAGAUUUUCCAAUUUCCUAAAAUUACUCCAAUUAUUUUGGAAUAUUGAUACAAAUAGCUGAAUAUAUAGCAUGAGCAUGGUGCAUGCAUAAUUACAUAAAUGAUCCAAAAAAGAAAAGGAAAAAACCUGGUGCUCUACACUGAGAGAUUCGAGGCCAGAGAGCAGCCAUGUGAGAGCAACAAAGGAGAUAAUGAAGAGUGUCAACAGCUGCGGGCUCCUCAGGUUAUGCUGCGGGUGAAGAUAUCUCCACCCUCUCCACCACCACGAUUGCGAUGAAGAAGAUAACGAUUUUUUUCCCAUUUUUGGGUUUAUUUUUAUUUGUUGAGAAAAAAAUAAAAAAUAAAAGAAAAAUGAGUGAGAUUUGAGGUAGAAAUGAGAAUGAAAGCUUUUCGCUUUUGGAACUUUGAUUGGCUGCCAAAAUGGAAAUGGAAAGUCGUUGGUUUGAUUUUGAACUUGGAAGAAUGGCGUACUGAGUGGGACGGAGAGAGUCUACGUGGAUUGGGCUGGAAACGUUUGGGCCUUACCAAACUUUAACUUGGUUCCUAGCCCAUAUUUAAAAACUUUUUCACUAUUAGUGCUACGCCAGGAGGGAGUUCAAACUCUGGUGCGACGGAGUGGGUUUAUUGUCCGAAUCAACUGGUCUAACUUCCGUCUGCAUAAUAUACGCGUGAUAUUGAGAGACGGAUGAAUACUCUUUAAUCCCUUGAACUAUAUAUGCUUCGUUUUGUUCCAGACAUAUUUUAAAUCAUUACUUGCAAUGUGUUUCAACAUUUUUAAUCUUAGGGAUUAUCGGUGUUGGUUCAUUUUCUUGGAGAAACAGUCAGUUUAUUGCAACCAUUCAAAAUUUAAAAAAAUGACAUUAACUAAUGCACUUCGCCAUCUACCCCCUGAUAUGCCAGUCAAGACUUCAAAUUUCCGUAACCUCAUUGUCCAAGUCGUGCAACAGAGAGGCAGGCCAAAGAGAGCCACUCAAAACACCACAAACAAAACCAUCAAUCUAGCAUUUGACAUAUAGUACAGUACAAUGAACUUGUUUCCACCCAUCUACAUCUAGCCCUCAUCUGAAUGAGGAAACUUGCGCUUUAAGAUCUCAUUCUCCUUCCUCAGCUUCAUAAUCUUGGUCUUAAGUGUUUCAACCUGCCAAAUCGAAUUCGAAUCUCGUUGCUGCUCAACGAGCUUUGAUCUGCUAACCAGCACUAAGGGUAGCAGCAAACAAAUCAUUAGUUUUUGGCAGGCCAAAACAACCACCAAGAAAUGACAUGUAAAAUAAUUUGAAUAGCAAGAGAAACUGAAAGCAACCUCACACUCACAUUCCUUCUGUAAGUCCUGGAGUUUUUUACUCGACUCAUUUUUCUCCUCCUGUUCAAUUGCAAGACAGUCCUUUAAAUCCUGAAUCUCCAGAAUAUCUGCAAAGGAACAAUUAUCCAAUUGAUCAACAUGAGCAUGCUGUACCUGGUAGGUACUUGCUAACAGAGAUAAAAACGAAAGGAGUUCAUUGGGACCUCACAUUUUGAUUCCACAUCUAACUGCACAUGAUCCAACCUGCUUGCUAGAACAUGCAGAUGGGAUUUAUGAGCUGCUAAAUCCCGUUGAAGGUGAUCAAUGGUUGCUUCAUUUGUCGCCUUCUCAAGCAUAAACCCUCUGAUAUAAGCAAACAGUAUUAACAUUUUACGUAGAGUAAAUUUCUUUCCCUACACAUUCUAAGUUCGUCAAACUGUGGAUUGAAACUAUACUUUUAAACACGGUUUCAUCUAUAUUCAUUGAUUCAAAUUGACGGUCGGUUUCAUCUAUAUUCAUUGAUUCAAAUUGACGGUCUAACAAUGUAACAUACCUGCUACGAAGACUACUCUUAAUACACGUAGAUAAAAACCAUAUAUUUAGACAAGAUUUCAUCUUGACAGUCUGAUAACAUCCCAUACUCGCUAUAAAAAAAGAUAGCAAAAGAAGCUUUCUUAUAUCCUUUGACAUUUGCAACGUUAGCCAUAAUUCGAUACUCAAAUAGUUUCAAAACAAUCCUCAAAGAUAUUCAAGUAUCAAAUUUGGGCUAAAGUUGCAAUAUUUUUCAAUAAAAAACUAUAUUUUGGUAUUCACUGAAAAACUCACCUAAUUUGAGCCUCCAAGUCAUCAACCUUGGCAGCACAGUCUUGCUUAGCCAAUUCCAUGGCCUUCCUACGCUCUUCUUCUUUACUGAGGCACUCCUCCCUCAUCCUCUUCACCUCUUCUUUCAAGCCCUGGCUUGAGCUACGGCGUUCUAGCUGAUCGGCAACAUUGUUCAAACACUCGGUGUACAAUCUGGUCAAUCGCUCAUUUUCUGCAACAUUAUCAAAUCAAAUCAACGCUUUCCAAAUCAGUAAUCUGGAACAGUGAACUCGAAAACGCUGCGUUUAAUUAUCAAGAAGAAGUGACCGGCCUUGCUUAAGAUUGUUGCAGGUGAAUUCCAGAGCUUCUCGCUUCUUGGCCUCGGCAUUACACGUGGAAUUCGCCAACUGGAUCUCUGCCACGCCGCUCUUGAAAUCCUGAGAAUUCUGAGUUUGAAUUAAGAAAGAAAAAAGAAAAUCAUCGAUCGGUUUGUUUGGCUGCCGAGAAAAGCUCGUUUUCUCUUUUUUUUUUUCUUUUUUUUUUUUUCCGUGGUUUGCUAGGCAGCCAAACGGAAUCGGAAUAUAGGAUAGUCAGGAAGGAAGGAGGAAGAGGAAGAUUUGUACCUACCUGGUAGAUUUGAUCGAAAGUGGAAAGCAGAGAAUCCAUUUCUUUGUCACUGGUUGCCGCCAUUUUCUCUCCUUUUCCAAUUGCUGCACUUCAGCGCCUUUCUAUUUCUUUCUAUUUUUUGUUUUUGUUUUUGUUUUUUGUUUUUCGUUUUUAAUGUUUGGAUAUGGUCUGGGCUGGGUUAGGUUGGAUUGGGUUGGGUUGAGUUUGGAUAAAAUUAGUGAAGGAAAUUUCAUGUAAGUAUAAAAUAAAAAUAAAUGAAAGAAAAUAUACCGUUUAUGAGAAAAUUUUAUCUAAAUAUUAAUGGUUAGUUAAAAUUUAUACAAGAGGUUUGUAGCUCAAAUGAUUAGCAGCAAUUAAGUCACUCCAUGUAAUGUUCAAAUUUCUCUUUCACCAAUAUCGCUUGUACAUAAAAACAAAAACAUGAAUAGUUAUGCUAUCAACCAUUAAUUUCCUUCUACAUUAAAAAAAAAAAAAAAAAAGACCUUUUGAGAAAUAUUAAGGGGAUAGAUGGCUAUACUUGCAAUUAUAAAUGAGGUACACUUUGCAUAUUGGUUUAGGGUAGCCAAGUGUAGCAAAAAAUACACAAAAACUAACAACGAAAUUGUGCACACAUGGACAACCAUGGCAAUCCCGCGGUCACUAAACACUAAACCCUAUUUCUUCUAUUUCCAAGUGCCAAUUUUAUUUUCAUGAGCUUGGUCACCACAUCCUUGAAGUCCAUUCUUUCCUCUGGCACUUGUUCACAACACCUCAAGCUUAUUUCCAUGAUGGACAAAAUGAUAUUUUUUGUAGCAUUUACGUUUCUGCCCUCUUCUAUGCUCAAUAAACCAGCAUCCACUACUUCUAAACAAUUGUUGGGGAGUGACUCAUUUAUCCAUUGUCUCAAAGUCUGUUCUCCGGCAAACAUUUCAUCUGUGGGUUUCUUUCUCGUGAUUAUUUCCAACAUCAUUAUCCCAUAGCUAUAAACAUCACCUUUUGUAGACACUUUUCCUGUAGAACCAUAUUCUGUGGACACACAUCAAUUGUAAAACAAUUUAGAGUGUUAGUCUUAGUCUCACGCGGGAUGUGACACAAUCUCAGUUGUUGAUGAUUAUUAUGGGCUCCAUAAUCGAUGAGUGUGAAUCCCGUUGUUUGGCUCAUAAACAUCAACACCGGAAAUUGUGUCAUGAGCAAUAGAUAUGCUAGCAUUUCCUAUCAACUAAUCUACGACGAGAUAUCAAUAAUUCACCAUCAAAUUUCAGGUUUGCAUAAGUUAAGGACAAUUAGUUAAUCUUAGUAACUAAAAUACAUAAAUUACUUGCUUUACCUGGUGCAACGUAGCCAAGUGUACCAAUUGUUCUGGUUUGUGUUUCGUCUUUAUUUUUUGCCAAGAUUUUUGCAAGACCAAAGUCUCCCACAUGUGCAACCAUGUCUUCAUCGAGAAGGAUAUUGCUAGGCUUCAAAUCACAGUGCACCACAACUUCUGCUUGGCCAUGGUGAAGAUAUUCCAGAGCUAAGGCAAUAUCAACCAUCAUGCUCACUCUUUGUACAAGAUUCAGACAAUAGUUGUGAGAGUAUAACCACUUCUCAAGGCUGCCAUUACACAUGUAUUGCAGCACCAAAGCUCUUACCUCAUGGCUUGAGCAUGAAGUUAUGACCUUGACAAGAUUUCUGUGCCGGAUUGUUCUCCACACCUUACAUUCCGCAUCGAAACUUUUUAAGGCACCCUCCAUUUGCAAGUUUAGAACUUUCACAGCAACCGUUGUUCCAUUAGACAGUAUCCCCUUGUACACAGAACCAAAACUUCCUACUCCGAGUGCGUUGCUUUCGCAGAAAUCAUUAGUAGCACGUCGAAGUUCUUGAUAUGAUAUCAUUCUAUGCUCUAUCGCCGAUAACGUGGGUUCAACUGAGCUUGGAAGGCCUGCAUUUCUUUUUUUAUGGUACUUUAUCAACCUAUAAACGAGAGCUGCAAGGAUCAUCGUGGAGGCAAUGGCUGGAAGAAUAUACUUGAACAAAUGAAGUGCUGCCUUAUAAUUUUGAGUGCUUUGAGGGGUGCAAUUUCGGACACCAAAAUCUGGUCUCCCACAAAGUUCUCCAUUCUCCAAAAAUGAUUGGGCAGUGAAGUUGGCAAAAGGUCCGCCAGAAGGAAUCUGUCCCGACAGAUGAUUGAAAGAGAAAUUCAAAUGCUCGAGAUAUUUGAGUGUUUCCAGAGACUUUGGUAUUGUGCCAGAUAAACUGUUGUGUGAUAGGUCCAAAUCUUCCAACCCUUUCAGAUCACCAAAAGUUUUUGGAACGUUUCCUACAAACAGGUUGUUUGACAAAUUGAGAGAGCGUAGGCUUUGAAAAGCUGCAAUGACGCUUGGAAUGUUUCCAGCAAUUUGGUUCCAAGAUAAAUCUAUCACUUGAACAGCAUUCAACUUUGUCAUUCCUUGAGGUAAGUUGCCAUCAAAAGAAUUGAAUGACAAAUUUAAGACCAACAGACUUUCAAGGUUCCACAAGCUCAUGGGUAUCGAUGAUGUCAAGCUGUUGGAGUCUAGGAGAACUAUUUGAAGGCGCCUGAGGUUUCCUAUGCAAAUUGGGAUCAAUCCAGAGAUUUUGUUGUUUGAUAGCAAUAUUUCCCCUAGGUUCUUCAGGUGACAAAGCUCAUUCGGAACGAACCCUUCAAUGCUAUUGUUUUGAAGAUGCAAUCUUUGCAAAGUUUCCAAUCCUCUAAUUGAUGAUGGUAUUUUUCCACUCAGAUUGUUGUGAGCUAAGUAAAGGAAGGUCAAGUUCCUCAAGGAACCAAUGCUCUUGGGUAUAUGGCCUCUAAUUUGGCAUGCAGGUGCAUAAAUUACCUGGAGGGACUGAGAGAAGUUUCCAAUGGAAUCGGGUAUGAUGCCAUUUAGAGGAUUUUCAUACAAAAUUAUAUAUUCCAGUGAACUAGAAUUCAACAAAGAAGAAAGGAAUCUAAGCUCAUCGAACCCGGGUUCUCCCGUUAGCUGAUUUCUUGCCAAAUUAAGGAAUUGGAGAUGUUUCAAGCUACCAAGAUUCAUGGGUAUUGGUCCAUAGAGCAAGUUGUUGUCAGCAUCAAGCUGAGUGAGCUUAGUAAAAUUUGAAAAAUAAGUUGGGAUAGGUCCUGUAAUUUGAUUGGUAUGAAAAAGUAAGGAAUUGAGGUUAGGAAGAAAAACUGCAGAGGAAGGAAACUCUCCAGAAAGAGCAUUGGAUUGCAUUUCUAAACCUUCCAAGGAGGAGAUGUUGAAGAUUACUUGAGGUAUUGGACCUGUUAGGCUAUUAAAAGCCAAGCCCAAAAAAGCUAGAUUAGAAAGAUGUCCCAAAUUGCCUGGAAUAUUUCCCUCUAUGUUAUUGCGUCCCACAGCAAAUCUCUUCAAGUUGGACAUGUUUCCAAUUGAAGGAGAUAUAGUACCUGUCAGCUUAUUACCACCAAGGUAUAGGAUUUGAAGAUGUUGCAAGCUCCAAACUUCUUCUGGGAUGCUUCCAACAAAGCUAUUGUAUGACAGAGAUAAGAUCUUAAGCUCUCUGCAUUGACCAAUUCUAGAAGGGAUCUUGCCACUGAACUUGUUGAAAGAGAAUGAAAUGUUUUGGAUAUUUGGCCAAUAAUGGCAAAGGUCCACAGGAAGACUUCCUGAGAUGCUGUUCUUAGGUAGAGAAAUCAUUGUUAGAGAAGUUAGGUUAAGGAGAGCAGAAGAGAAUGAACCUGUGAGGCCGCUCUCGUCCAAGCUCAAUCUUUCCAAUGUUGAAAUGUUACCCAAGGGUGAAGGAAUUGUACCCGUGAGAUUAUUCAGGCCGAGGAAUAACGUACGGAGUCUAGGUAGGAAACCCAACUCCCUAGGUAUAGGACCUGUUAGCCUGUUUACUUCAAGGACUAGGACUUCGAGAUUCUGGCAAUGGUACAAAGUUGGAGGGAUGCUUCCUUGCAGCUGGUUGUUAUGCAAUAAAAGUGACCUCAGGCGAUGUAAACGGCUGAUUUCAUUAGGCAAGGGCCCAAAGAAGCUGUUGUUUCGAAGAUCGAGCGAGACGAGGAAGGAGAGGUUGCCAAUAUGAGGGGAAAUGGUGCCUUGGAGAGCCAUAUAGGAAAGCUUUAAGGCUGUGACUCUUUGCCUGCGUUUGCUACAAAAGACCCCAACCCAAUUACAGAAGCUUGUUUUGGUAGUCCAGUUACCACCCAAAACAAUAUUGGUGGGGUCAAAACUGAGUUUAGAUUGGAUGGCAAGGAGGGCAGAUUGAUCUGUGAAGUUGGAAGUUGAUGAAGAUAUGGCAGACUGAAGGAAGCAUGAGUAGUGCAAUAAUACAACUCCAAAAAGAAAGAGAAUUUUUGGGCAUUUCAUCAUGAACAUGAUGGGCAGUUUGGAUGUAAUAUUAAGGUAAAGGCUCAAGUUUGGUUUGAUCGUGUGUAAAUUUGCAUGAUCGGCCAUCCCUUUAUAUAAUAGUAGUGACAAGAUAGCCAUUUUCCUGGAGCUUUGACUUCAACAAUUAACCCUUGUUUUCUUGUACUUCCAUCAGCAUCAAUAAUUUAUGAGUGGGACCAUAUAACUUACUAUUAACUUCUUUUUCUUUUUCUUUUUUGUUAAUUGGGUCAAAUUUUGGAACGGGAAGUGGAGGUGCCAUUAGAGUUUGGAAUAUGAGACAACUUAUUUGCACGCGCAAAUGCUUUUACAAUCGAGCUAUUGACUUGUUGGCAACUUAUUAAUAGCUAAAUUAGUAAGCAUAUAUAGAUAUACAUGCAUGGUUUUUUUUAUUACAAGUAAUACUCUAAAUUAUAAAGGGAUGACGUAUUUUUCUCAUAUACACUACAACAGUGUUAUGAGGUUUUGAACUUGAGAUUACUAUUCUGCAAAUCAAGAUCUUUUUCUAUUGGAUUAGACUCUAUUGACUAUAUAUAUAUGUAUUUAAUCUCUAAUCAAUUUCUAAUAAUCAUUAAUAUUCUAAUUAAAAUCUCGACAAACAAUCUCAAACAACCUUAAUUAGAUCCAAUGUCAUGCAUUCCACGCUACGCCAACAUCCAAACUUAAUAUUGGGACUAAUAAAUCAUCAUGAAAUAGUGAAUUUGGAUUCACUUUUUUUUUUUCUCUUUCAUGUUUAUCAAACAUAAUCACAUUGGCCGUCUAUUUUCACCAACUUGUCAUAUUUCAUUAACAUGGGAAACCAAAAAAUUCUGCACAUUGUGUUUCCAUUGUCCAUGUGUAGGGCAGUCGUCUCUUGGGGUCUGAGGGCCAAAAGGUCAGUCAUCUUUAAGUCCCAUCAAGGUGCUAGAGUCUUUGAAGACCAGAAAUUUAUAGUCCUUGUCUAUAGGUCCCUCGUCCCAGCAGAUUGAAUAUUCAACUUUCUCGACAUGUCUUGAAGCAAUUUGUGCCAUGGAAUGGAAGUCUCUCUCUUAAGUCAACUUCCAAUGAAAUGACAGAAAGCGGAAAUUGUGAAAAAUUUCGUUGCUUGAUAAAUUUGUGGGAUUUACAUAUUCACAUUUCAGCACUACUCAACGAGACGAUUAAAUUUUUAUGAGCAAGUGGAUAAAGCAAAAAAUUUCUUCUUGUUUUUUAAACUAUAGGUUUUAGUAUUCAAAGAGCCUCCUAUCUUGGCUUCUUAGCUAAUUGGAGAGGAUUGUGAGAAAUGCGUACUCCAACAAUCUUUUAAGGGCUCGUCAUUUUAUUUUUAAUCUUUCAUAUAAUAUAUUAGACAAUAGGGUAAUAUACGACUUCAAAUGCAUGAGUGAAUACUCUUACCAACUUACUAAAUAGUAUUCAUUUCAAAACCAUACUUUUCAGCUUUUAAGUUUGAGGUUUAAGGGGGGAAAAAAAAAGUUUGAGGAGAGACUUAAAAUAUUUCAUUUGCUCUCUACAUUAACUUGGAAAUUGUGUUAAAAGCUAUGUUGCACGGACAUUCCAAACUGCUGGAGUGUCGAACACUCCGACAUGGCUCUGACAUGUCUCUGACACGCAUUGGACAUGGUCAAAGGUUGGGACACGGUCAAGACACGGCUCCGACACGGUCAAGACAUGGCAGGGACUAAUUUGAAAAUUUUAAAAUAAAAUCUGAGGUCUAAACUUGAUUUUUAAAACUUAGGUGGAUUUAUUUGUAAUAUUUUUAAAAAUAAGGGCUAAAAGUGGAAAAAUAAUUUUUAAAACCUAAAUCUCACUUUUUCUGCUGCCAAAGUUCAUUUCCUCCGUCACAGCUAUUCUCCCCCACUUCUUCUGGUUUUGCACAAGGUAAGUCUCUUUGCAAUUUUUUUUUUCUUUGUUUUCAAAUGCAUUUAUUUAUGUUCUCUAUUUUCUUUUUUUAUCUCCUUCCACAGCAGUAGAAGGGCUGGACUUGGUGGUGAGGUGACAAUUCUUUCUUCUAUUUUUUUUUUAAGAGAAACACAACAAAUAAUAACAACAACAAUGAAGACAUAGAUGCUUGAAGAAGAUUGAGAGUUAGAUCAUUUAUGUUUUAUUUUGUGGUCUAUUAAUUAUUAUGUAUAGAUGAUGAACAUUAGUUAUUUGUUUUGUUUUAUGGAAUUAUGUGACAUUGAAGUAUUGAGAAUAAAUUAUUAUUUUAAUUGUCGUGUCCUAACCGUACCCGUGUCCUAAUUUUUUGAGAUUUUCCAUGUUGCCGUGUCCCCGUGUCGCCUUCUCAUGUCCCCGUACCCGUGUCCAUGCAACAUACGUUAAAAGUAUAAGACACGACACAAUUGCAAGUGAGAUAUUCAAAGAUUUUUUUGAGUCUUCGUUUGUAGUGUAUAUAAAGAUCAAUCCACCACGUAUUCAACAAGUUUUGGCUCCAUUUCACACUCACAGUCCUUGUUUGAUAAAGACCUCUCACAAAUCUAACUCCAUCUCUCUCGACCGACCUGAGAGUCCCCAGAUAUUUAUUUCCAAUGUUUUCCGUUCUAAUUAAGUUCAAAACAAGGCAACCUUUAUGAUUUCCACGUGUAUCAAUAGCCAGAAAUUGUGGAUGCGCUCAAGUACUAAUUGACAAUACAAUGUGUUAGUAUUAAUUUUGUGAUUGGCAUUUCCUAGAGACAAAUUAGACUAAGUAUAGAUGGUAAAUUAGUUGUGAUGGUGGCUGUCAAAAUUCCAAGAUAUGCUCUGAAGACUUAUAUGUCAACCAACGAUCACUAAGGUAAAUUCUUCAUUCAAUCAUGUAUCUUGAUUGUGGUAUUUCAAGCAUUAUUUCAAACUCACAAUCUGAUUAACAUUUUGAUUAAGAAGUCUUUUUAUUUUAAGAAAGAUUAAUUUAUUUUAUAAAUUGCUUUCUAGUUUUGAGCCUUAAAAGUCUUCUUUGAUUGAAAAUCAAUUAGUCUGAUUUUGGAAAAUUAAUCUGUUGAUUAGGAACUAAUUGAUCUUGUUUCAAGUUUUGAAAACCAUUAUAAAAAGCAAGGCUUGGUUUUCAUUCGUUCAACAAUUUUCAAUGACUAGGGUAUUUCUUGAGUUUUCAUAUACACAAAAGAAAGUUGUUGAGCUUUAUUGUUCAUAAGGAUAAAUCAUCAAGAGUAAGAUUAUCUUGGUGAUUUGUCCUUGCAUUCAUUUGCAUAAGUUACAAGGUUCUCAUACCUCCGGUGAGAUUGGAUCGAUCGCGCCAAGAAUCAGAUUCAACAUAAGGAGAGAAUGAGAAAUCCCGCUAGAAGUUGAGUUACGAAGAAGUUGUUACGUUGUCUAGAGUGUCUAGGACAAGUUUGUAUACUUUUUGUAAUCAUCGUUUUAUAGUGAAUUUGCCUUGGACUAUCAGAUCCUGUGAAUUUUCCCCAGAGUGGGGUAUUACCACGCAAAAUACUUUCUUGUUUUUCUCUGCUUUUACGUUCUGAACUGUACAAGAUUGAUACAUCGUAUCAAUCCCCUUGGCAUGUUUUAUUUGUAUUAUUGCGAUACUCUUAAGUACUUAAAACACAGAAUUUACGUUUUUGGUGUUUUAAGCCAUCCUAUAGGUAUUUUCACAGUGCUAAUUCCUCCUUUGGGACUACCCCACAAUAUAAUUUUAUUAUCUAAACAAUAUCGUUUUAUUAUCUAAAUCUUUUAAACUUUAGGUCAUCAUUUCAAGAUCACCCUUGUAAAAGUUUAGCCAAAUUGAAAUUAUUUAAUCAUUUGAUUAUUAUCGUUAAUAUUUUCAUUGUUUUUAGAAAGUAUUAUGUUGGUCUAUAUAUUUUAUUAUAACUAAAUGACUAAGUGUUGUCUAAUUUAAUUUUUUUUAUUUUUAUCAGGGUGAUCUUUGAAUGAUGACCUAAUUAUAAUAAUGAACGGUUGAAAUCAUAAGAUAUGUGAAGUAGGCCCAAAUGAUUAGUUAGCUAAGCACCAUAUUAACUUCCUAAACCGGUUGCACUUGAGCUCUCCUGCCCAAGCAAAUAUACCAAGUACUCUAGAAAAAUCAACAAUGCCAAACAAAAUGUUUCUAUAAAAACUAAUACCUCUUGUUUUGGAAACAAAAAUACAUAUAUAUCAUGGGACUUUAUUGAAUAUACCUAAAUCAUAUGAGUCAAGGUUGUUCACAUACUGUGGUGGUGGUGGUAGAAAACGUGGAGUUGAGGGAGGGUAGGGGAAUAUAGGUUCGCAGAUAUUAAACCGAGAUUAAGAUAAAUAAUUAUACAUAGUUCGUAGAUAAUUAUGUAAUCAAAGGGCACAAGAAAAUGAAAGGAAUGUCUUUUCCACUCAAUCAAAGGACCAUUUUCAAUGAGAAUAUUGUACAACACUGUCUUGAAAACGAUACAAUUGACACAUUGUUGCAUAUGGCAAGGGUGAAAACAUGACUAAAUCUGAAAUUAGAAAGGAAAAUAUGUAUAGGGGAACUGCAACCUUUUUUGCAGCCUCUGCAUGCUACGGAAAUAAUUUCACAGUCUUUACAGUGGAUGCAAUUGUAGCAGCAAACAGAGUGAUAUGGAACAACAAGAAAGCAUGCGGCAGCUUUUAUGAUGUGUUUUGCAUUGGAGCUGUAAAUAGUGCAAUUUCAAACUCUUGCAAGUAUAGUAAGGUGGAACCAUCAAUCUUUCUGAGGAGAGUUUCAGAUUGCUUGCUGAUCCCAAGGCUGGGAGAAUUAAGAUUUAAGUAUCAUCCAUCAGACCUUUAAACAGAUUGAAUUGGUUUAUAUCCAAAUACAUUUAGAUUCAUGUUAUCAGAUUAUGAUCCGAAUUCGAUUAUCAGAAACUUAUCAGUCCUAGAGAAGAUUAAAAACAUAAUUCCAUUUGUUGUAUUUACCUACUGUUGAUUUUGAACCACCAACUCCACCGCCCUAUAUACUUAAAACUAUUUUCAUAUAACAUCCCAAUUAUAUGGUUGUUUUUCAUUGAGAACGUGUCAAGAAAUAUCACUCUCCGGUGGGCAAAAUAGGGCUAUACAAAUGCUUCAAGCCUGAGCCUAGCCCUAUUUUUUAGGCAUUGGGUUGGCUUGACCCGUUAUUAAGGGCGGUUUCAGCCCGACCUGUUGUGUAAAGAAUGGACACGUGCUUUAAAUUUUAUUCCAUGGGAAGCCGAGCCUUGCCCGGUAAUUAAGUUAAUAAAUCAUAUAUUUAUAAAAUAAGCUAAUAUUAAUUACUCUUUCAUUUAAUUAAAAUAUAUUUUUUUAAAACAAGUAAUAAUCUAAACUGAAAGGAAGAGAGUUUCUCACACAUACACUAUCAAGGUGUCAUGGAGGUUCGAACCUGAAAUCACUAGUCUAUAAGACAAGACCCUUAGGUAGAAGUAACACUUGUGUGCAACGAAAAUAGUAUUGUUUUGCUAUCUCUGGUCAAUCACGCUAUGUCAUGCAUGAUAACUUUUCCACUUGGCAUAGCGAGAUUGGUCGUAAAUAGCUAAACAAUGUUAUCCUCAUUUCAUAUAAGUUUUCUACCCAGAUAGAACCUGAUCUUAACCUAUUUAAGAUAACGUGGGUCGUGCCCAGCCUAUUAAACCCUUCGGGCCGAAAAAGCCUGCAACUGAGUAGAGCUUGGGCUAACUCCUCUCAGGCCAGGGCUGGCCCAGCUCAACCAAUUUUACAGCCCUAGUUUAGUUUAUAGUUUAUAAAUUACACCUCAAAGAUGUGUAGACAAAAAAUAAGCUUUUGGUAGAAAUCUACAAUAACUAAUAUCAAUGUACGCACAUAAUUCUAUCAUGGAGAGCUCUUACCAUUAAACCCGCAACCAACAAGGUUGGUAUUUGUGAUGGUCAGGACAGCAGACCCUCCGGAGCUACAAUCCUCCCGUGUGUUUUAAAAGGCAUUCAUCACGAAUGCUUCCCGAGUAACUUCAAAAUUUGGGGUGGUCAUGGAUGUGGCUUUUAUUUUUUACUUUUUGUUUUGUGUACUUAGUUUUUAUUUAUUUAUUUAAUUUAUAAAAUAUAUAUUUUUUAAUUUUUUAAUUUUUAAUUUGGCUUAGAAAACUCACAUUUGCCCCCAAAGUGUAGGUCACGUGUUUAUUUUUAACGAAAAAAUUGAUAGAUUUACUGAAAAGGACCACUAGUGCAACAUGUGAUCUAAUUGGAGGACUUGAUCUAAUUCGAUUUUUUAAUUUUUCAAUUUAAGUUAUCUUAUCUUUUUAUAAAUUUUGAUUUAUUAAUUAUUUUAAAACAUAAUGAAUUUCUUACGAUUUCUUAUCCACAUGGAGCACUUUGUCCGCAUUAGAGUUAAACUCACUUAUGCCACGUAAGCAUUUAACGGAAAAAUUAACAUAUUCACUAAUAGGGAGAUCAAUAUGUAAGGUUUAUGUGAGUUCGUGUACAAGUUUGCAUGAUUUUUAAGGUUGGAUAUUAAUCUGAAAUGACUCAAACCAAACCAUCUAUUUUUCAAGGCUACAUUCGUAUAUUAUCCUUGCCAAAAAUUAGACAAAUUGAAAACCGUUUUGACAUCUAAUUGUGUCCUACAAAAUAGAUGAACUCGGUGCUUCAAGAAAGUACUAAACUUACAAUAAUUGAAUGGCUAAACUAGUGAAAUGCCCCCUGAACUUGUGCCUAAUUUUCAAUUGACCCCCUAUCCUUUUUCUUUUUUUUGGUUGAAAAAUUAAAGAUAUGAACUCCUUUUUUUCGACAAUUUCCCCUAUGCGAUCAAAAUCUUCAACAUUUCAUCCAAUUUUCAAUUAAAUCAUUUAAAAAAAUUAUUUUUUUAGAAACAAUCAAAGAAAAAGAGAUCAAAACAAAAAAAAAACAAAAAACUUGGGACCCCUUGACCCAAACCCAUCCCCCCAUUUCUUCUCUUCACCACUCCCCAUGACCACCACCAACAGACACCUCCCCCUUCCUCCCACCCCCCACCCCCUUCCCCUAAUUUCUUCUCCACUCUCCCCUCUUUCCCCACUGCAACCCACCCAUACCCAAGGACAGGCCUAUGACUUGUACAACCUGGGCUAUAGCCCAGCUGAGUUUUUUUAUAUUUAUUUAUUAUAGUUAGUUUUAAUGUUAAUCUCAUUUAUAGCAGAAAUAUUAAUUUGAACUAAUUGGAUAAUUGUAGUGUCACCUCUAGUUGCCGUGUGUCUAUAUGACCCUAUCUUUGUGAUGAUAAAUUUUCAUUUUUGAAUCUUCUUUCUUUUAAUUAAUUUUUGUUCAUCAUGGUAGACCUUAGCUGGCAUUGUUGGAGUAAAAUAGGCCUUUUAAACAAAUAAAAUAAAAAUGAUAUGUUUUUAAGAGUCUCGUUCUCUUGGACCCCUCCAAGAGACUUGUGGUCACCCACCCUUAGAUUUAAUCCAAGGGUUAAGAAAAAUUUGCUUUAAAAUAUCUUUUUUCUUUUACCUUUUAAAUUUCACUUAACAAAAAAAGAAAAAACUAAAAACUAAAAACCCAAAAUCUGUUCUUCUUCCUCCCACUGCCCUCACGUUCUGCUUCCUCACAUUGUUGCAGCAACAACAACUCCGACUCCGGCGUAGCCAGCCAAAAUCCAGAGCGACUUAUUCCCUCACACUUCAACAAGGUCAGUUUCUUGUUCUUAUUCAGUUUUUCACUCAAUUUUCGGAUUUGAAAUCAUGAACCCAUAUUUGGGAAUUUCAAUUGGAUUUGUAUUAUUUUUUAUUUCAGAACUACUGGAACAAAUAUGAAUCUUAAUAUGGGGUUCUUGCAACUGGGGUCUUCUAUUCGAGUUUUUUCAGUGUCAAACAUGAAUCUUAAUAUGGGGUUCUUGCAACUAUGCUGUUUGUUACUCGCUAACAUGUGAAAAUCUGUUUUUUUUUCUUUUUGCAGACCUUCAUUUAUUUAUUUCUUCCAUUAUUCGAGAUUUUUCUUUGAUUAUUACAUAUGUUUGUAUUAAUUUUGUUAUGAUACAUUUAAGUGCAGGAGUGAUGGCAAAUGCAUUAGAUGAAUUUUAUAUCCCUCAAGUUAAAGAUGAAAAAAAACCGAAAGCAGGGCUGGCAUUCCAGUCAUUGGAUGAAACAUACGAGUUCUACAAUGAUUACGCAAAGGAUGCUGGGUUUAGUGUCAGGAUUAGUAAGGAGAAGAAAAAGAAAAAAACAGGUGAGGUUGUUUGGAAACGAUACGUUUGUUUUAAGGAAGGUGAAACAGAUGAGACAUGGAGGAAAAAAAAAAAGACAGUGAGUCUACACAAAUAGAAAGAGAACGAGGUAAUGUUCGUGAAAAUUGCAAAGCAAAGUUAACAGUAGUUUAUGAUGGGUUCAAUUUUGUAGUUCAGACUUUCAUUGAGGAACAUAGUCAUCCAAUUUUGUAGUUGUUGUUGCUGCAACAAUGGGAGGAAGCAGAACGUGGGGGCAGCGGGAGGAAGAAAAACAGAUUUUGGGUUUUUAGUUUUUAGUUUUUUCUUUUUUUGUUAAGUGAAAUUUAAAAGGUAAAAGAAAAAAGAUAUUUUAAAGCAAAUUUUUCUUAACUCUUGGAUUAAAUCUAAGGGUGGGUGAGGUCCAAGAGAACGGGACUGAUGUUUUUAAAUUUUAUACACACACACAUGAUCAAUUCCAUAAGCCUAGAAUCUAACAGUUCAAUAAGGUAAAUCUAGCCCACCUCAUUUUAAAAUAUUGGAUCCGUUCUUGCCCAUACCCAUUUCCCUCCUCCCUUGACCCGUUUCCCAUCGCAAGCCACCUAGACCCAUCCCUCUAACCCAGAACCCACCAUACUCCUUCCCACAACCCCACCCACAACACAACCCCCCCCCCCCCCCCCCCAAAACAAUUCAUCAGGAGGGGGAAAAAAUCAAAAUUUUAAAGUUUAAAAUUUUAUUUCUAAGUAUUUAUUUAUUUAAAACUUACAAAAUGACCAAUUGGCCCUCAUAUUUAAUUGAAGAUUGAAUGAAAUAUUAAGGAUUUAGACAGCAAGGAGGAAAUUGGUAAAAAAUAAAGAGUUCAUAUCCUUAUUAUUAUUAUUUUUUUAAGGAUAGGAGGUCAUUUGAAAGAUGAUCUUUAUAAUAUCGGAUUCAGGUGAGUGGUCAUAUGAUAUUAAUUCAAGUAUUUUUUGCAAAAAUGAUCUUUGUAUGAAUAUCUAUAAAAUAGACGGUUUGGAUUAGUGAAAUACAAUACGAAGUGGGCCCUGCAAUUAGGGACGGAUCUAAGAAUUUUCCUUGCAAUUGUCAACAUUUAACACGGUAAAAAAUUUCUAUACAAAAUAAAUCCAUAAAAAUAAAACGAUAAUUUAUAAUUUAUAAUUAAUAGAAAAAAUCAUAUUACAAUUGUCCACGAUGAUUUUUUAUAUUCUGAAAACGUCACAUUAUAGUUUCAUUAUCAAUACAAGCGAAUACAUCUUUCACAAUAUAAACAAGUAGGGAGUCUACUGGGAGGAGGAUUUUCCUUCUUUUUAGCCAAAGUAGCUAGGGAUGAGAGGAUAAAAAGUCUGCUGGAGAUGCUAUAAGCUAUCACUCAACCAUUGAUGGAGAAAAGCUAACUGAAAAUUCAUAUAAAACAACUAAUUGAGCCUCUCUGUUGUUUCGUUUUCUUAAGAAAUCUAUUUCAGCCAAGGCAAACCAAAUAGCUGGGAGGGAAUGCCUUAAUUUCCCCCAAGCCCAAUACUUCAAGAUCUUAAAUUUAUAUUUCCAUCAAUAUUUAAUCAACCAAAUACAAAUGAGGCAUCAAAUAUCAGUCCCACCAAGCAGUUAUCUUCACUUUUGUCAAAUAUCCAUACUUUUUCAAAGUUAAAAUAAAAAGAAGCCCUUUUCUUUUUAAUUUUUCCCUACAGACCAACUAAUGGGUCCUCAUUAAGCUAAACUGAAAUCUCAGAUUAGUGAGCAAAUCACAGAUAGCCAUCAAACUACAUUGAAAAAUAAUGAAGAAUUGACGAAACUGAAAGCAAAAGAACCAAGGCAGUGAAGGUGAAAUUUGACAUUACAUUUUGUGGACUUUAUCUCUGACGCGUCUCUUCUUAGCUGCCCAACAACCAUCAGAUUGCGAGGUCGAUAAAGCGCGAGCUGGGGAGGAGCGCUGCCCUUGGGGAACUGUCGUCGAACAGUUUGCAGGGGUCAAUUUUCUCCCCUCUAAUGGCAGAUUCCAGAGUUGCAGGGGUCACUUGAUCACCCUUUCUCCUCUGUGUAUCCGUCCUUGCCUACAAUGAUGUCCCUCAUGAUAAACCGUACAUUAUUUAGUUGAUACAUUUGAAUGACUAAACGAUCAACAAUCUAUAUAUAUAUUGAUGUAGAACAGAUGGCAGAUUUUAUCGCGGUUGAGCUAGAAAAAGGACGUAGCGGGAAUAUGCAGUUUUGUCGUCCAAGCUCCGAUUAGGACGCAAAAUACCUUUUUCGGAAAGGGAACGAAGCCACGAGUGUAACUCACAGCUUUGCCGUGACAUAAGGUGGAUUUUGGCAUUCUGAGGUCGUUUGGCCUUCCAAAACUGCAGUUAAAGUUUGGUAGUUAAUUUUCCAAUAAAUUCUGUUUUUGACAGUUUAGGAGUUACGUUAUUAAGACUCCAAAUUAAUCCUGUUUUUUCAGUUUUAUGUAAUAACUCCCCUAGUAGUUGAAGGGUUGAGGGUUGUUGAGAAAUGUGUAUUUAGACAGGUUUGUCUAAUGUAUCUGGAACUCAACUUUUAAUCAUAUUAUUCCAAGAGAGCUUCUCUUAAUUUUCUGGUGGAAUCCAGUUUUAUUGUUACUCACGGUUUCGCUUGAAACCUUUGUUGCUUGUGCUGCGUCAUAUAUAUAUAUAUAUAUAUAUAUAUAGAGAGAGAGAGAGAGAGAGAGAGCACCAGAGAAAAAAUUUCUUUCUUUUCUUUCAAAUAUGGGAUUACAGGAUAAAAAAUAAUCAUACAACACAAAUACAAUUACUUUUACAGCAAAUAAACUGAAAGAGGAUAUACAACAUAGUGACG
rnacentral:lncRNA from 1 species